rnacentral:misc_RNA from 1 species
CGUGAGCCUUUAGCUCUGCUUCAUCUUGUCUGCCUUCUGUGCUCUCCCGCCGCCGCCUUCUUCGCCUCUGAAGCGCGACUUGGCACACAGUUUACACGUAACCGCAGCGUCAUGACCGCCACCACCACCGACAGCGCCAGCUAUGGCAGUCAUCCGCGAUGCCGCGUCCACACCGUAGCGAUGUCUCAGGCUUUCUUUUACGUGGUUAUUGGUGUGCUCGUGUGCCUCACUGUGUCCUGCUCUGCUUCAGGCUACAACGCGUCUAUGUAUGUGAACAGCGACAUCGCCGUCACUGCUCUUUUUACCGGGCCCAAGCUGGUCAUGCUUGUGCGGACCUCACCCCGUGACUUCAGUCCAAACGCCUUCACCAGUAGCCUGUACAGCCUCUUCUCGAAAGCCGAUGCUUCCAUCAUGAACGUCAGCUCUGUGUUCCUGGUUAACUGGUGUGCCAAGGAUCUCGCUAUGGUCAACACCACCCUGUCUUGCCCAGAAGGCGCCAAGCACAACAGCGACGAACACGGCUAUGUGCUUGCGCAGGUGCAGCUGAGCGGAUGGAACUACUCGUCGCCCACAGAUCCGGCUGAAGUCGAUCUCUCCUCCCUUGGUGUCACGGAUUCCAUACUCGUCAGCCACUUCGGUGGUACCUAUAAUCCUGACAACACCUCGGGCAUGAAUAACAACAGCUACGUCAUCAACUUCGCCUCCGAUGCGAUGGUCACCUACGCUAUCUUUGGGUUCCUGAUGGUCAUCGUUAUUCUCGCCCUCAUCGGAGUGGCGGUGUGCGUCUGCUUGUGCGACAGCCGCCAGCUCAACCACAACAAGAGCAUCGUGGACCGGGCCAUUCGCGCCGUGCACUUAAACUAUAUGGCCGCCCUCUAUGGUCGUAGUCACCAGCAGCAGCAGCAGCAUCAGCAGCAAGCCAUGGCGAACUUCAGCGACCACCUCAACCUGUAUGCCGACAUGUCGAACAACGGGUCUUCUGGCGCGCCGCAUGACUCACAGAACUGGACGGACUCGCCGCAGGCCAACAGGGGAUCUUCAAAGGCCAAAAGGAACGGCUGGGAAUACUUGCACCGGGAAGAUGGUGACACCCGCGAGAUGCAAGAGAUGCGCAGCAUGCAGCCAUGAUAUUGGGACAGCGUAACGUCGAAGGGGCUGCAAGAGAGGCAGGUAGAGAAAACAACGCUACGCGCGCGCGUUUGUGUUUAUGUGUCUCUCUCUAUCGGCCUUGUACUUCCUCUCCCUCUCGCCAGUCACGCAACAGCUCACUGGCUUGGUGAGGCAAGGAAAAGACAUUGAGGCGCCGAAUGGGGGAAUGCAGCGGCGGCGUGCAUGCGCUCGUCAAGUCUCCUUCCCUUUCUUGUGCGCCCCUCGUAUCCCUGCUGCGGCUAUCACCAGCGCUACCUCUCUCCUACGCCUCGGCCCUUCUGCUUCCUGUGCGCCUUGCUUUUCACAGCUCUAUCUUUAUAUCGAUGCAUCUAAUAUAUAUUGGUAGAAGGCGCCACGGCUGCAGCACACUAUAUAGCCGUGUGUGUGCGUGCUCUCCCUUCCUCCCUCCCUCCCUUUUUUUUUUGCUUUUCCUCGCCUCUGUCGAUCAACUCGCCUGUUACUGCACGCGUCCACAGUUGUUCCUGGGUGUGGCCGUGCGCACACGUCCGUCGCCUGCGCUGAUGUCCCUCUUCUUUCGUUAUGGCUUCACUCUCGACAGAAAUACAACGCGGAGGUGAACGUCGGGGGUAUUGAGGAGGAGAGGACCAACGAGAGUGUGUCUUGGAGUCACUCAAGAAGCGGCCACAGGGACCAGAAGCGCACAGGCAAAUGCACAGAUGCCCAGGCGCCGUGGGCUUGCUCGCUUCAUGCUAUGCGCUCAUACCUUGGCAUGCGCUUGCGUUUGUCUGUGCGCGCGGUGGCACGCACGUGUGUAGAUGCACAUCAUGGUCUGGGGGGGAGAGUGGAGGCCGGAUGCGCCUCGUGCAUGCCUGAGUUUUCCGUCUCCUCCUCCUCCCCACCCCACCUCCUCCUUCCUAUUGCUUAUAGCUGAAGCACUGAUUGUCCACAAACACACAUACGGGUAUAUAUGUAUACAUAUAUACCCGUAUGUGUGCGUGGUGCCUUGUUGUUUGCGCUUCCCCCUCCCGUCCUCUCCCUUCGUCGCAAGUCCCAUGAAUCUGUGCACGCUCGCUUUUUUUUUGCUGUUUUCCGUUGAUGACGCGCAACUCUUCUCCCUCUCUCUCGUUCAGUGUAAUUGCAACGGCCUUGCACUCACGCCUGUGUACGCCGCCUGCACGCCUC